UGGGGAAUUUUGGACAAUGGGCGAAAGCCUGAUCCAGCAAUGCCGCGUGUGUGAAGAAGGCCUUCGGGUUGUAAAGCACUUUUGUCCGGAAAGAAAUCCUUGGCUCUAAUACAGUCGGGGGAUGACGGUACCGGAAGAAUAAGCACCGGCUAACUACGUGCCAGCAGCCGCGGUAAUACGUAGGGUGCAAGCGUUAAUCGGAAUUACUGGGCGUAAAGCGUGCGCAGGCGGUUUGCUAAGACCGAUGUGAAAUCCCCGGGCUCAACCUGGGAACUGCAUUGGUGACUGGCAGGCUAGAGUAUGGCAGAGGGGGGUAGAAUUCCACGUGUAGCAGUGAAAUGCGUAGAGAUGUGGAGGAAUACCGAUGGCGAAGGCAGCCCCCUGGGCCAAUACUGACGCUCAUGCACGAAAGCGUGGGGAGCAAACAGGAUUAGAUACCCUGGUAGUCCACGCCCUAAACGAUGUCAACUAGUUGUUGGGGGAUUCAUUUCCUUAGUAACGUAGCUAACGCGUGAAGUUGACCGCCUGGGGAGUACGGUCGCAAGAUUAAAACUCAAAUGAAUUGACGGGGU
rnacentral:rRNA from 1 species